rnacentral:rRNA from 1 species
UACAGGGGGGGCAAGCGUUGUUCGGAAUCAUUGGGCGUAAAGGGCGCGUAGGUGGUUCUGUAUGUCUACCGUGAAAGCGUACGGCUCAACUGUAUUUUGUCGGUGGAAACUGCAGGACUUGAGGCUGGGAGGGGCUGGUGGAAUUCCCUGUGUAGCGGUGAAAUGCGUAGAGAUGGGGGAGAACACUCGUGGCGAAGGCGGCCAGCUAGACCAGUUCUGACACUGAGGCGCGACAGCGUGGGGAGCAAACAGG